rnacentral:lncRNA from 8 species
AUGCACAGACAUUUCAGACAUUCACUCAGUGCAAUCUUUUACUUUUUAGACCUCCUUUCAUGUGCAGUACUGAUGAUUGACUUACAUUAUUCUUCUCAGGUAUUAAAGUAUUCUCCUCUCAACACAAAGAGUGGUCAUCAUGGACCCCAGAGGUCACCACUGGCCUACCUCACCUGGACCUGGCCCUGGUCGUCACACCCAAAGACCCAGAGAGAGGGAGGACUACCACAGACCUCCUCACUCUCACCAGGGGGAUGGCUCUGGGCACUUACCCACUACCACGACCUCCACCACAUGGGGCCGCUACCACUGGGCACUACCUACCACCACCACCACCUGACCCCAGGGAGAGGCAGUGGUCCCAGGUUGGGUCCCAUCCAGACCUCAGGUACAGGGGCUACCUCACCAGUCCUCCACCCCACAGACCACUUCCAAAGUUCAGCCCUAACUCCUAUGGCACCCCCCCACUCAAGAACAGCUUAUGACAGACCCCACUCUACAAUGGGUUACAACAGACCAGAGCCACAACAAUCCAGACCCCACUCAAGGCCAGUAUACGACUAUCCACACCAAGGCUACUGGGACAACAGCCAAGACUAUGGCUACUAUGACCAAGGCUAUUACAGCCACCCAGGUCACUGGACUCCCCAGGAACAGUGGCGAUCUGACUUGUAUCAGGAGAGGAGAACAGCAGGACCAGACUGGGAGUGGCUACCCAGAACAACACAGGUAUGA